rnacentral:tRNA from 1 species
AAUAAGAUGCCUGAUUAAAGGAUUAUUUUGAUAGAAUAAAUUAAGUGUUUUCAUUUCACUCUUAUUG